AUGCAGUUUCCCCCUUGCCUGACCCCUGUGCUCUGCAGUUGGGGACCUAAGGAGGAGUGGGUGAAUGAUCAGGCAGAGUCACACCAGGAGCCAGGGACCCAGUCCCUCCACCUUCUGCUAGGGGUCCAGUCCCCUGUUUUCCAUGAAGUUCUCCCACCUACACAAUUGGGCUGUCCUGCUCCUCCACUGGGAGCUGAAAGGACCCCCCCCCCCCUCCCCACACACACACACAGAUGCCAGAUGCCGAAAGAGACCCUUGAGACUCUCUGGGGAGUCAGUGUAGACUCCCCUCCCAGAUCUGAGCCUCCCUCAGGCAGUUAUCUCAACCCCCACUACAUUUCCAGUUUACACUGGCUUCCCUGUGGGGUCCCCAGGAUAGGGACAGACAGACCCCCCCCCUCCCCCCAAGAAAAGACCUCUGCCAGUUCUUUUCUCUUUGCCCUCUGCCUCAUUCCCAGACCCCUGGUUCUAAGCAGACCCUCAGAGUUGGGGAGUGAUGGUGCUGUCCCUUUAACCACGUUUUACUGGAAGGAGAGUGCGCUGGGGAGGAGGCAGGAGGGGGAAGGGAGUUUCUGGUUGUGCAUGGAGAGGCAGAACAUGAUGAAGCAUUUUUCUCCCAUUGAAAGAUCCAGUCAGGCUCCAGUUUGCAGGGGGCAGAGAGGCUGGCUUGCAGUUGGUGCUGGGAGGAUGGAGUCCUUCCCAAAUCCCAGCCCAGCAUUUCCCAAGGCACCUUCUUGAGGAUGAUGACAAGUGUUCCUCCAAAAAGGAGAGUAAAAGAGGAGUUUCAUGGCUAAAGGAGUUCAACAGGGCUCUUGGAGCCUAGACUUGGUGAUGAGCAUUGGGAAUCUCCCAGAGGUGAGUUGAGUGUGCUGAGUUCCCCAAAUUUGUUUGAUCACAAGCCCUUCUUACCCCUAACUGUCUCCCAUGGUGGCCUGCACUAAAAGACCCACUCAGAAUUGAGCUCUAGGCUCUGUUCUCCCUGAGCUGCCAUGUGGGCUCCUGUGGACCCCAAGGUUAGUGCUCUUUAAGAACAGAGCUGAAGUGUGAAGGAUAAAGCAGUACAGCUCUCUGUGAACAUCAGCCAGGCAUUGCUGUCACUCACUUCAUUCAUUCAUUAUCUAUAGGCUUAUACCUUGUAGUGAGCACUGGGGACUCUGAAGAAUGAGACCCUAGUGAGGGGGAAUCCCCACCUUGUGUACAGUAGAGAGAACUCAGCCACCACUUUUUCCUUGCUAUGUCCUCAAACCUGGUUCGCUAGGCAAGGGUCAUUGUCCCUGUUUAAUAGAUGAGUAAACUGAGGCCAGAGUGAGGAAGUGGGUUGCCUGAAUUGACCCAGUGAUAGAGCAGAGUUGAGUCCAGUGUUUCAAAUCACCCAGGCCUAAGCUGGUGCUGGACACACGGGGUAGAAGCCCAUUUCUCUGGCACAGUAAAGGGGCCCAGAUGGCCUGAGGGUGGGGGAAUGAGUGGCCCCCAGAGAGAGAACAGGCAGCUGGCUGGGGUUGGGGUCUGGCUUCCGACAGGUUGUCCAGCUGAGACCCCCUGUGACCUGUGACCCAGUAUCAGCACAUGGUUUAUGUGGGGGCUCACUCCCAGCCAGGGCAUCCUGCACCACUGUGUCACCUCUCUGGGGCACAGCACCUGGCCACUGUUGUGGGGUGCAUUUGCUAAACUUCUCAUUCUCUUCCUGCUUUAUUUUUCUCCAUACAACUUGACCUUUUCUAACAUGGGAAAUUCUGCUAUCUUGUUUCCUCCCAUAGCAUGUAAGCUUCAUGAAGGCAGGGAUUUUUUGUCUGUUUUAUUCACUGCUGAUUUCCCGAACUCGUGGAACAAUGGUUGGCAUAGGGAACGUGCUUAACAAGUGGUUGUCAAAUGGCUGGUUGAGCAGCCCAGCCCGAGAGGCCGGUGAUCGCGCGGACAUUUCAGCACCAGACAUCCGGACAGUUCCCUGCCCGCUGGGCCCUUGGAGGAGGCCUUGGCAGGGCGUCUGCGAAACGUGGGCUUGAGAGUGUGGCCCCGCCCUCAGGCUUGGAGCCUCGCAGCCUGAGCUGUGUGGUCACCUUUGCUGGGGCUCAAGCCCUCCCCACUCCAUUGCCUGCAAACUACCCCGACUCCUAGUAUUACCUUGUCCUUCUUGAGUUCAGCAAUUAUUUCUAUGAAUUAAUUAUUCUAUUAAUUAUUAAUUAUCUCAUUUCUACCAAGCGCUGGGCCUUUCUCUUUCUCCUUGCCUCUCUUCCCCUUUAGUGUUCAUAGUGCCCCACAUUCUCUGUCUCUCCCUCGCCCCCUCCUUUCUCCACUUCUUUCUCCUUCCCCUCGGUGCCUUCUCUCUCUGUUACAUCCCUCCUUCCUCUUUCCCCACAAUUUUUCUGUCCUCCGUAUCCCUUCUCUCCUCCCAUCUUCCCCCUCCCCCUCCAUAGAGGUGUCCUAUUUCUGCACAGCUUGAUUUAUAGUAAAGAGGAGGCAGCCUCCCUCCCCUCCUCCCUUUAUGAAGCAGACCGCACAAACUGAACUACGUGCGGUUUUGCAUAAGCCUCCCCUUCCUAAGGUCCACCCACAGUCUUAACCACCAGGGGACCAGCCCGCAGCGAUGAAAGCCUGCAGCAGGCCUGCCUGCCCGCCCACCCGUCUGCCGCCCUGGGACGGGUGGGAGUCUGAAUAAUGCGGCAAAGGUCAGGAACUGGUGGGUGGAUUUACAGAUCCGCCCCAUCUCCCCAGCUCCAGUUCCCUUUGUGGGCAAAUAUGGAUGAAUGAUUCUUGGGUUCCUGAGACUGGGAGUGAGACAGUCCAUUCGUCUUUCCUAAGGGACCAGCUCUAACAACUGGAUGGGGUUUGCUGAGUUACACAUGCUCUAGGGCUGUCAUACUCUUGUUAGCUAGAACAAGAGACUAAGUGGCAGUAGGAAUGAAGGCUCUCAUCUAAGGAGGGAUGGAGGUGCCUCUGCUUUUAUGCCUGGCCUCUGUCAUCUCUGCAAUCAUAUGAAGUGGAUACUGUUACUAUCGCCACUUCACGGUUUGGAAAUGAAAGCCCAGAGAGGUGGGGUUAUUUGCCCCAGGUUACACAGCUAGCAAGUGGUGGAGCUGGAAUUCGAACCCAGGUCUCAUGGGCUGUGCAGCAGGUAUACUUAACUACAAGACUGUUCUGCCACCUCUCACGUUCACAGGAAGGCGCAGCUGGGUUCCCCUAGGACCACUGCUUUAGAACUGGACCCAGCGCUUUCCUGCUUCCGUCAGAGCUGCAGGAGCUCUGGGGGUUCCUUCUGGCACCUUGGUGGAAGCAAGAGGGGUUGAGAACUGGCACUGUCUUGGGGCAAGAGGCUUCCCAGGCAGUAAGUUGAAACGACGUCUGACUCAGCUUUCUGGACAACCCAUCCUGAGGAGACAGAUAAGUAGAAAGCAGUCACGGAACCAUGAUUGGGGUUCACAGUAUUGAUCUUGAGUCAUCAAGAAAACAAUUUUGGCAGCCUCCCUGUGGUGAGCACCUGCCUGCUGUGUGCUGGCCCCUGAUAGACAUGGUGUCCGCAACAACUCCGCUAAGUCUGCAGGGUCAUCCUCCGAUAUGGAGCAGGACAUCUGGGUCAGAAAAAGAAAGUGACCUGCCAAGGUCACAGAGCAAGGUGGUGGAGGGGCUGUGGCUCACACCUAGGCCUCCUGCACUUCCCAGUAUCCACAACGGCUCUCUGAAAAAGAGAUUUCAGUGAUGCUUCAUUCUUUAAUCAAGAAGAGAAGGCAGCCCAUAGUACAUUUUAGAAAGAUCCUAUGCCAGUGAACUUAAAUGGGGGUGUUGGGGCUUGUGGAGAGAACUGUCCAUUGGAUAAAAGUUCAUUCCUGAUGGUCAGUGUUGGCAGGUAAAUGAGGCAUUACUGGGCUUUAAAAGAGGCCCCCGCAAGUGGGUACAGCCCCUGGCUUGGUGGACAUGAAGCUUGCCUUGCUCGGGGACAGCAGCACUCUGGCCUGUCCCUCUGCAGUCAGGCUGUGCAAGGAUAUACAGGGCCUGGCGGCAGCCCGGCACCACACAAAAGCAGCAAACAUCAGCAGGGGGGAAGACAUGCCAGGAAAGUUUCUGAUACCUCUUCCUCGGCCCUGAGCCAGGCGCCAGCCAUGGACAGAAGACUGCAAGAGCCCAGAGCGGACCUGGACUGGGGAUUCGGUCACACACGCUGGUAAAAGCUCUGCUGGGUGCCUGAACUGCCUUCUGGCUUCUGGGGAGGUUGGUGGUGGAGGAAGGAGGAGACAGCUGACCUUGAGGCCUUUGCUGGAAUUUGUGUCUGCCUUAGGGGGAAUUAGUGGAGAUAAAGUACUUUUCAUUAAAAUUUUUUAAAUAAUUCUGCCUCAGUGUCGGUCACCAAUGCAAAUUCCUGGGCCCACCCAGAUCUUCAGUCAGAAUGCCUGGUGGAGGCUCUUGGGGAUGUGCAUUCUGAGCGAGUGUCCCUGGAGCAGAACUGCCUCUGGAUCUGUCCUCAACCCAGCUUCCAAGUUCACUGCUUGAGCUCUUGCUGUUAAGUCUUUUAUACACAUUGUCUCAUUUAGGUGUUAUGCACACUCUAAGGAGCUUUGGUGAGCAAACUGAGGCCUGGAGAGGUCAAAUCACUUGCCAAACACGCAACCAGGAUUCAAAUCUAGAACUCCACCCCAUGCCACCUCCCUGUCUGCUCACAGCUGGACCUCUCCAGGGAAUGCCUUCCUCCACCUUCAUGUCAUCUCCUCCCUGGUGCCUUGUGCCCUGCUCAUUACCUAAGUGCGUGUCCUGGGGCCUAGGUGAUGACAUGUGCUGGAGUCCCCAGUGCCUGUGCCUUCUGGUCCUUCCUAGCCCAUCAGUUCCUGGGUGCAGGGAUGUAUGCAGUGGGUAAACAAAUGGUGGGGACGUAAACACUGGAGGCACAAGCAGAACUCAAGAAUGUUCCCUGGUGGUGGCUUUGGAGGGGGCAGGGCUGGACGGAAUGGACAGAGAGAGCUGGUAUGCCCUGCCCUACCCACAUCCCUCUCUGCUGAAAUCUCUUAUACCUUCCAGGCCCACCUCCAUGAAAUUCUUUUUUUUUUUUUUUUUGAGGAAGAUUAGCCCUGAGCUAACUACUGCCAGUCCUCCUCUUUUUUGCUGAGGAAGCCUGGCCCUGAGCUAACAUCCAUGCCCAUGUUCCUCUACUUUAUAUGUGGGAUGCCUACCACAGCAUGGUGUGCCAAGUGGUGCCAUGUCCGCACUCGGGAUUCGAACCAGCGAACCCCAGGCCGCUGAGAAGCGGAAUGUGCGAACUUAACCACUGCGUCACCAGGCCGGCCCCAACCAUGAAAUUCUUGAUUGUGCCAUAUUCUCUUGCACCCCAAGCUUGUCUGAAACCCUUUCCCCCACCUCAGUAUUCACUACCCCCCCCCUUCACCUAACUCCUCUUUAUUUUCAGCUAUUCCACGUUACCUCCUCCUUCAGGGAGCUUUCUCUAACCCGCAAGGUUUUGAUAGCUGCUUCGUUUGGGCUCCCACAGUCUCCUGCCUUUCCCUGAUUCUAGCCCUAACACUGUAUUCUAAAGGGCAAUUUAUUUGUCUCCUAACUGGACUUGAGCUCCACAAGGGCAAGAGCCAUCUCUUAUUCAACGUUGUUUGUUGUUUGUUGAAUGAAGUUUGUUGAAUGAAUAAAAGGCAAUUCGUGGUAACUUCCUAUAACCUC
rnacentral:lncRNA from 1 species